rnacentral:misc_RNA from 1 species
GACGAACCGUGCGAACGUUGUUCGGAAUCACUGGGCUUAAAGGGCGCGUAGGCGGGCUUGCAAGUCAGGGGUGAAAGCCCACGGCUCAACCGUGGAAGUGCCUUUGAUACUGCGAGUCUUGAGGGAGGUAGGGGCGUGCGGAACUUCCGGUGGAGCGGUGAAAUGCGUAGAUAUCGGAAGGAACACCGGUGGCGAAAGCGGCGCGCUGGACCUCUACUGACGCUGAGGCGCGAAAGCCAGGGGAGCAAACGGG